GGCCCCGUGGCGCAACUGAAUAGCGCAUCAGAUUUCGGCUCUGAGGGUUGGGGGUUUGAAUCCCUCCGGGGUCAC
rnacentral:tRNA from 4 species